GCAAGAAUUGAUCAAAUCGAAGGGCAGAACUAGCUCUAAUCAGAUGCAUGAAUACAAAUUCAUGAUCACCUAGUCGUGAGGAUUACAAGUUUGUCGCUCAACGAGCUAGGUGGAGGCUUGGGAAAGAAGCGGUCAAACGAAUCAAGCACGAGAAGAAAAGCGUAUUCGGAUGGAAGGUGAUUGCCAAGAGUGCCCGGAUGAAGAUCAAGCUCGAAGAAGAACCGAACAUGAUAAAGUUAAAAGCUUCCGCGCG